rnacentral:rRNA from 1 species
GACGUAGGGCGCGAGCGUUGUCCGGAUUUAUUGGGCGUAAAGAGCUCGUAGGCGGCUCAUUGCGUCAACCGUGAAAACCAGCAGCUCAACUGUUGGCUUGCGGUUGAUACGGGUGGGCUGGAGUUCGGUAGGGGAGACUGGAAUUCCUGGUGUAGCGGUGAAAUGCGCAGAUAUCAGGAAGAACACCCGUGGCGAAGGCGGCUCUCUGGGACGGUACUGACGCUGAGACGCGAAAGCGUGGGGAGCGAACAGG